GAAGCUGCUUGCGUCAUGACGUCGUAUCAUUUUGGUUCCUGUGUCUGCUGAACUGUACUGGCUUCUUUUGCUGCUCCUCCAAAACCUGGACCAAUCUGUUCGUUUGUUUGCUUGGUGCUGGGAAGCUGCGCUGCAUAGGCGGAAUUGUGACUCCGUUUAUUUGGCAGCCUGGUAAUGUAACAGGUAAGCGGCUAUCAUAAAUACUAGUUUUCAUCAGCAGUUGUAUUGAUGAUCUGCUCUAUUUUUUUAGUUUCCUGAUGAGUCUUUGACCACCAUAACACUGGAUUUGACACUGGCUGCUGUUUUGCCUAUUAAGAACUGUUUUGCCUAUGAAGAACUGUUUUGCCUAUGAAGAACUGUUUUGCCUAUAAAGAAAUUCUUAAAAGGACCUAUCUGGACUUUCCCCCUGCUGCCGGGAGCAUUGAUGACACUACCAUCCGGAAAAAGUGCAAUAUUGUAGCGCUAUUGUACCACUGUUUUACUCAUAUCGUUUCAUUUUUGCCUUUCUUUUAGGGACUGAGGCUUCUGUGGUGGCAGUGGUGACCCCUGGUGGCGGUGUCUUGUUUUGUGUGUUUUGUUGGAGCACCUUCUUUUUUUUGUUUGCUGUGUUUUUGUAGUGUCCAGGGUGAUCCCUUUUCUUCACUGGACGUUGCUCCUUUUCUCACCACUUCCCCCCCCUCACUGGUAAGCCUCAGUUUCCUUUUGAAAAUUAAAAUAUUUUAUAAUCAAUUGAAUUAAAAAUGCAUUCACUGUUUUAACCAUUCAAUUGCAGAUUAUUGUGAUUCUUUUUAAACAAAAGACGUAUAGUGUUUAAUAAACUUUUGUAAAACUAUUUGAAUCCUGUCUCAUUUCCAGUAGAACUUACCUGUGUCCUUACUAUUUUAUUUUCCUGGAGUUAUUCCAGGUGGCGUUGUCAGUAUCCCAUAUUAACUUUAACAUCUUACAUUUGGGUUUCAUAAAAAAAAGAAAAUCCAUCCACCCCCC